UCCAGACUCCUACGGGAGGCAGCAGUGGGGAAUAUUGGGCAAUGGGCGCAAGCCUGACCCAGCAACGCCGCGUGAAGGAAGAAGGCUUUCGGGUUGUAAACUUCUUUUAAGAGGGAAGAGUAGAAGACGGUACCUCUUGAAUAAGCCACGGCUAACUACGUGCCAGCAGCCGCGGUAAUACGUAGGGGGCAAGCGUUAUCCGGAUUCACUGGGUGUAAAGGGAGCGUAGACGGCGACGCAAGUCUGGAGUGAAAGCCCGGGGCCCAACCCCGGGACUGCUCUGGAAACUGCGUCGCUGGAGUACGGGAGGGGCAGGCGGAAUUCCUGGUGUAGCGGUGAAAUGCGUAGAUAUCAGGAGGAACACCGGCGGCGAAGGCGGCCUGCUGGACCGUGACUGACGUUGAGGCUCGAGAGCGUGGGGAGCAAACAGGAUUAGAUACCCCUGUAC
rnacentral:rRNA from 1 species